UCUGGGUGCAGUGGGGGUU
rnacentral:miRNA from 1 species